rnacentral:rRNA from 1 species
UGGGGAAUAUUGCACAAUGGGGGAAACCCGUGAUGCAGCGACGCCGCGUGAGUGAAGAAGUAUUUCGGUAUGUAAAGCUCUGUCAGCAGGGAAGAAAAUGACGGUACCUGACCAAGAAGCCCCGGCUAACUACGUGCC